rnacentral:rRNA from 1 species
CAGUGGCGCACGGGUGCGUAACGCGUAUGCAACCUACCUUUCAGCGGGGGAUAGCCCGGGGAAACCCGGAUUAAUACCGCAUAAUAUAAUUGAAUGGCAUCAUUUGAUUAUUAAACAUUUAUGGCUGAAAGAUGGGCAUGCGUUAGAUUAGCUAGUUGGUGAGGUAGCAGCUCACCAAGGCGAUGAUCUAUAGGGGUUCUGAGAGGAAGAUCCCCCACACUGGUACUGAGAUACGGACCAGACUCCUACGGGAGGCAGCAGUAGGGAAUAUUGGGCAAUGCUCGCAAGAGUGACCCAGCCAUGCCGCGUGCAGGAAGAAGGCCUUCUGGGUUGUAAACUGCUUCUGGAAGGGAACAAAACGGGCAUGCGUGCCAACUUGAGUGUACCUUCAGAAUAAGCACCGGCUAACUCCGUGCCAGCAGCCGCGGUAAUACGGAGGGUGCAAGCGUUGUCCGGAUUUAUUGGGUUUAAAGGGUGCGUAGGCGGCUUAUUAAGUCAGGGGUGAAAGACUGCAGCUCAACUGUAGCAGUGCCUUUGAUACUGAUGAGCUUGAGUACAGAUGAGGCUGGCGGAAUGGGUGGUGUAGCGG